rnacentral:rRNA from 1 species
UACGAGGGGAGCAGGCGUUGUUCGGAUUUACUGGGCGUAAAGGGCGCGUAGGCGGUCGUGACAAGUCACUUGUGAAAUCUCCGGGCUUAACUCGGAACGGUCAAGUGAUACUGUCGGACUAGAGUACAGAAGGGGCAACUGGAAUUCUCGGUGUAGCGGUGAAAUGCGUAGAUAUCGAGAGGAACACCUGCGGCGAAGGCGGGUUGCUGGGCUGAUACUGACGCUGAUGCGCGAAAGCCAGGGGAGCGAACGGG